rnacentral:rRNA from 1 species
UACGGAGGGGACUAGCGUUGUUCGGAAUUACUGGGCGUAAAGCGCACGUAGGCGGAUUUGUAAGUCAGGGGUGAAAUCCCAAGGCUCAACCUUGGAACUGCCUUUGAUACUGGGGAUCUCGAGUCCGGAAGAGGUGAGUGGAACUGCGAGUGUAGAGGUGAAAUGCGCAGAUAUCAGGAGGAACACCCGUGGCGAAGGCGGCUCUCUGGGACGGUACUGACGCUGAGACGCGAAAGCGUGGGAGCGAACAGG